GACGAACUCGCUCACCACAUUCGCCCAAGCCAGAGAACAAACGAGACACGCCAGGGCAAAUCAAGUCUUUCCCGAACAACGAUCAUUCAUUACGGCGGUCCGACCAAAGACCUUAUUCUCCCUUCAUCCGGAGCUGCCGUUACUUUUUCAUGGAAGCUCAAGCCAUAAAUCCUCAUUUUUCCACAACUCUAAACUCUAUAAAUCCAAACUUUCUGGCAAAAAUCUUUCCUCGAUCCCCAACUCGGGUUUCAUGUAAAAGUCCCAAUCUUUCGUUUGUUCCACAAUUUGGAACCUCUUUGAAGAAGGGUGUAAGUUUGAGAAGCAGCUGUUUUGUAAAAGCAAAGAUGGGUUGUGAUGGCGGUGACGAAUUGGGAGAAGGGGUCGGCAGGAAAAAGCUGGCUGUUUUUGUAUCCGGGGGUGGUUCGAAUUUUCGGUCUAUUCACGAGGCCAUUCUUGAUGGAAGAAUUAACGGGGAUAUUGCUGUUUUGGUGGCAAGUAAAGCUGAAUGUGGAGGUGCAAAUUAUGCAAGAAAGAAGGGAAUACCUGUCAUUGUAUUCCCUAAAACAAAAAGUGGAUCUGAAGGUUUAUCUCCACAUGAUCUCGCAAAUGCUCUGAGGAAGUGUAAAGUCGACAAUAUUCUGUUAGCUGGAUAUUUGAAGCUUAUACCAGCUGAGUUGAUUCGUGCUUAUCCGAAGUCCAUACUAAACAUCCAUCCCUCUCUUCUUCCAUCUUUUGGAGGUAAAGAUUACUAUGGCAUGAAGGUGCAUAGGGCUGUCAUUGCUUCUGGAGUAAGAUACUCAGGGCCCACAAUCCAUUUUGUUGAUGAACAUUAUGACACUGGACGUAUCCUUGCCCAGAGAGUCGUUCCAGUGCUUCCUACUGAUACGGCAGAGGAGCUGGCUGCAAGAGUUCUUCAAGAGGAACAUCAAGUAUAUGUGGAGAUAGCUGCAGCUUUGUGCGAAGAACGGAUUAUCUGGAGGGAAGAUGGAGUUCCUCUAAUCCGGAGCAAGGACGACCCUGAUAAGUACAGCUAGUGGAUCACAUUCUAUAUCAUCAAUUUUGCACAAAAAGAAGCUCGCGUCGCAUUUUUGCUUUUAAGCAUCAUGCAUCAGGUAGCAACCAGAUGGGAGCAUGGUAUACAUAAAAUUUCAACAUUGAUAAGGAGCCCUAGCCAAAUACUGCUGAUUAACAUGGAUGGCGAAAAGACAAUGAACUUUUUGUACUAGCAAACUGAAACAAGCACCUUUUGAGAACCGCUUGCUUGUUCAACAUUUAGAACUGGAAGCCUGCUCCCAUUCUGCUAAGGUUGGUCUUGAUACCAGAAUUUCUCCCAAAUAUGACUUUAGCUAAUGGUGGGAAGAUGGUUAGAGAAGUUGUGACUUGCACAGUUCUAAGUCCCAUAUUAAGGCCCAGUUUGGGGUUAAGCUUUUUGUGAGUUAACAUUUGUUUACCAAAUGAUAUCAAAACAAAAAUAGAGAAUUUGGACAAGUUUUGAGUUUGUAUUACUAUAAGGUACUCAAGAAAGCAUUCUAGCGCAUUUGUAUAACUUUCCCUGAAGGUCACUUCAGUAGCAUUUGGUAAUAUUCAAAAUCAGGACAUGCCACUUCCUUUUCCAACCCAAAUGCACUUGCCAAAAUAAACUUUCUGCAAAGUUAUGUCGUUUUUGUUUUCUAAUUUAUUAUUUUAGGGCUAGGCAAGUUAUACGGUAUGUAUUAAGGGAAGUUAUAAUUAUCUUUGGUUGUACUUUUAUUUGUGAUGUUGAGUACAUAUAGCUGGGGUGGCAAGUGAUAUAGGAAUCAUUAUAUAAUUCUA